GACGAACGCUGGCGGUGUGCUUAACACAUGCAAGUCGAACGGUAAGGCCCUUUCGGGGGUACACGAGUGGCGAACGGGUGAGUAACACGUGAGUAACCUGCCCUCAUCUCUGGGAUAACAGUCGGAAACGGUUGCUAAUACUGGAUAUGAGCCUGCAAGGCAUCUUGUGGGUUGGAAAGAUUUUUUGGUUGGGGAUGGACUCGCGGCCUAUCAGCUUGUUGGUGAGGUAGUGGCUCACCAAGGCUUCGACGGGUAGCCGGCCUGAGAGGGCGACCGGCCACAUUGGGACUGAGAUACGGCCCAAACUCGUACGGGAGGCAGCAGUGGGGAAUAUUGCACAAUGGACGGAAGUCUGAUGCAGCAACGCCGCGUGCGGGAUGACGGCCUUCGGGUUGUAAACCGCUUUCAAUUGUGACGAAGCUUUUUGUGACGGUAGCAGUAGAAGAAGCACCGGCUAACUACGUG
rnacentral:rRNA from 1 species